UACGUAGGGAGCUAGCGUUGUCCGGAAUCAUUGGGCGUAAAGCGCGCGUAGGCGGCCCGGUAAGUCCGCUGUGAAAGUCAAAGGCUCAACCUUUGAAUGUCAGCGGAUACUGCCGGGCUAGAGUCCGGAAGAGGCGAGUGGAACUCCUGGUGUAGCGGUGAAAUGCGCAGAUAUCAGGAAGAACACCAAUGGCGAAGGCAGCUCUCUGGGACGGUACUGACGCUGAGACGCGAAAGCGUGGGGAGCGAACAGG
rnacentral:rRNA from 1 species